GACGAACGCUGGCGGCGUGCCUAAUACAUGCAAGUCGAGCGGACCAAAGGGAGCUUGCUCCUGGAGGUUAGCGGCGAACGGGUGAGUAACACGUGGGCAACCUGCCUGUAAGACUGGGAUAACAUCGAGAAAUCGGUGCUAAUACCGGAUAAUAAAAGAACUGCAUGGUUCUUUUUUGAAAGAUGGUUUCGGCUAUCACUUACAGAUGGGCCGCGGCGCAUUAGCUAGUUGGUGAGGUAACGGCUCACCAAGGCAACGAUGCGUAGCCGACCUGAGAGGGUGAUCGGCCACACUGGGACUGAGACACGGCCCAGACUCCUACGGGAGGCAGCAGUAGGGAAUCUUCCGCAAUGGACGAAAGUCUGACGGAGCAACGCCGCGUGAGUGAUGAAGGUUUUCGGAUCGUAAAACUCUGUUGUUAGGGAAGAACAAGUGCCGUUCGAAAGGGCGGCACCUUGACGGUACCUAACGAGAAAGCCACGGCUAACUACGUGCCAGCAGCCGCGGUAAAGU
rnacentral:rRNA from 1 species